GCGCCCUUGGUGUAAUGCUAACACACUCACUAUCCAGCAUGAAUUCGAGUGGUACUGGGUUCGACUCCCGGAGGACGCC